rnacentral:rRNA from 1 species
AUGUUCCCCAACACCUGCCUUAAUAGAUCCCUCGUCAUCCUACUUCCAAAAUCGCAAGACGCUCGAUCUCCCUCUGACUUUCGCCCCAUCUCGCUUCAAAACGGCCCAAUCAAAGGAAUAGCCAAACUUCUCACCAAUAGACUCAAACCUCUUAUCCCGCUGCUCGUCCACCCCGAUCAAACAGGCUUCCCCUCUGGGUGGAACAUCUCUGAAAACUUCCUUUAUGCAGCAGAUAGCCUCCACUGCUGUGCUAAACGCAAAGCUCCUACCUUAGUUGUUAAGCUCGACUUUCGUAAGGCCUUUGACUCGGUCUGCUGGCCCUCCCUCCUACGCACUCUUCGCACUCGUGGCUUCCCAACUCGAUGGCGCUGGAUAAGCUCGCUGCUCGACACUGGCUCCAUGGCAGUCAUGCUAAACGGCAUUUCGGGCAGAUGGAUCAAAUGUAAAAACGGCCUCCGACAAGGAGACCCUCUCUGCCCCUACAUUUUCAUUAUCAUUGCCGACAUUCUGCAACAACUGAUAAUCAAGGCUAACUUGGAUGGAAUCCUCCUUCACCCUCUUAGUCCCACCUUACCUUGUCCCGUCCUCCAAUACGCCGACGACACUCUCAUAAUAGUCAAAGCCACCCCGGACUCCGCCUCUCACCUUAAAAGGAUUCUUGACGACUUUGCUAACGCCACUGGUUUACAAAUUAACUUCAACAAAACCACGUUCAUCCCCCUAAAUGUUGACCACGAUCAGGCUACUAAGUUCGCCUCUAAUCUGGCCACCAACAUUUCCUCCUUCCCGCAGACGUAUCUGGGUCUCCCUCUCUCUCCCCACAAAUUGCCACCGUCCGCGUUCCAACCACUUAUUGAUAGGUGCGACAUUUACCUUUCGGGCUGGGUAGCACUCCCUCUCUCCCGCGAAGGUACACUAGUUCUUCUGUCGGCCGUUUUAGAUAGCCUCCCAACCUACUUCAUGUUAUGCUUCUCUCUCCCCAUCCAAGUUAUUGAGGCCAUUGAUAAACGUAGACGUUCCUUCUUCUGGUCUAACGAUGAGGUUUGCUCAGGGGCAAAAAGCCUGGUGCUUGGGACAGGGUUUGUACGCCUAAAGAUGCAGGUGGUCUAG